GGGGGUGACGGGUAUUGAUAGGAACUGAUAGUACUUUGACGCAGGUCGAGCAACUCUGUCCACUCGUUAAACGGUCGGGGAAAUUGAUACUUGCAAAAAAUGUAUCUUCUGGUCGUCUCGCUCUUGGAAGCAUGUUGAAUGCUUUCCGAGCACCGGCCUUUGCUCGCGCGUAAAACCCGCGACAGGAUCUUCUGAUUCCUCUAGGGAGGCAUUCCUGUAAUAUGAGGAUGGAUUAUAGACGGCGUCUGGCGUUUAUAAUCGAGAUUGACAAAGACUAUAGAGAGCAUGUGUUUGCAUUCUUCGCAUGAUUUCCGAAUAUAAAAGAAUGCUAUACCUGUAGUGUCAGAUGCCGGAUGUUUACUAGACGAGGGUUCGACUCCCUCCACCUCCACCA
rnacentral:tmRNA from 1 species